rnacentral:rRNA from 1 species
GACGAACGCUGGCGGCGUGCUUAACACAUGCAAGUCGAACGGAAAGGCCCUGCUUUUGUGGGGUGCUCGAGUGGCGAACGGGUGAGUAACACGUGAGUAACCUGCCCUUGACUUUGGGAUAACUUCAGGAAACUGGGGCUAAUACCGGAUAGGAGCUCCUGCUGCAUGGUGGGGGUUGGAAAGUUCCGGCGGUUGGGGAUGGACUCGCGGCUUAUCAGCUUGUUGGUGGGGUAGUGGCUUACCAAGGCUUUGACGGGUAGCCGGCCUGAGAGGGUGACCGGCCACAUUGGGACUGAGAUACGGCCCAGACUCCUACGGGAGGCAGCAGUGGGGAAUAUUGCACAAUGGGCGGAAGCCCGAUGCAGCAACGCCGCGUGCGGGAUGACGGCCUUCGGGUUGUAAACCGCUUUCGCCUGUGACGAAGCGUGAGUGACGGUAAUGGGUAAAGAAGCACCGGCUAACUACGUG